rnacentral:rRNA from 1 species
AAAUUGAAGAGUUUGAUCAUGGCUCAGAUUGAACGCUGGCGGCAGGCCUAACACAUGCAAGUCGAGCGGUAGCACAGAGAGCUUGCUCUCGGGUGACGAGCGGCGGACGGGUGAGUAAUGUCUGGGAAACUGCCUGAUGGAGGGGGAUAACUACUGGAAACGGUAGCUAAUACCGCAUAACGUCGCAAGACCAAAGUGGGGGACCUUCGGGCCUCAUGCCAUCAGAUGUGCCCAGAUGGGAUUAGCUAGUAGGUGGGGUAACGGCUCACCUAGGCGACGAUCCCUAGCUGGUCUGAGAGGAUGACCAGCCACACUGGAACUGAGACACGGUCCAGACUCCUACGGGAGGCAGCAGUGGGGAAUAUUGCACAAUGGGCGCAAGCCUGAUGCAGCCAUGCCGCGUGUGUGAAGAAGGCCUUCGGGUUGUAAAGCACUUUCAGCGGGGAGGAAGGCGUUAAGGUUAAUAACCUUGGCGAUUGACGUUACCCGCAGAAGAAGCACCGGCUAACUCCGUGCCAGCAGCCGCGGUAAUACGGAGGGUGCAAGCGUUAAUCGGAAUUACUGGGCGUAAAGCGCACGCAGGCGGUCUGUCAAGUCGGAUGUGAAAUCCCCGGGCUCAACCUGGGAACUGCAUUCGAAACUGGCAGGCUAGAGUCUUGUAGAGGGGGUAGAAUUCCAGGUGUAGCGGUGAAAUGCGUAGAGAUCUGGAGGAAUACCGGUGGCGAAGGCGGCCCCUGGACAAAGACUGACGCUCAGGUGCGAAAGCGUGGGGAGCAAACAGGAUUAGAUACCCUGGUAGUCCACGCCGUAAACGAUGUCGAUUUGGAGGUUGUGCCCUUGAGGCGUGGCUUCCGGAGCUAACGCGUUAAAUCGACCGCCUGGGGAGUACGGCCGCAAGGUUAAAACUCAAAUGAAUUGACGGGGGCCCGCACAAGCGGUGGAGCAUGUGGUUUAAUUCGAUGCAACGCGAAGAACCUUACCUGGUCUUGACAUCCACAGAACUUUCCAGAGAUGGAUUGGUGCCUUCGGGAACUGUGAGACAGGUGCUGCAUGGCUGUCGUCAGCUCGUGUUGUGAAAUGUUGGGUUAAGUCCCGCAACGAGCGCAACCCUUAUCCUUUGUUGCCAGCGGUUCGGCCGGGAACUCAAAGGAGACUGCCAGUGAUAAACUGGAGGAAGGUGGGGAUGACGUCAAGUCAUCAUGGCCCUUACGACCAGGGCUACACACGUGCUACAAUGGCAUAUACAAAGAGAAGCGACCUCGCGAGAGCAAGCGGACCUCAUAAAGUAUGUCGUAGUCCGGAUUGAGUCUGCAACUCGACUCCAUGAAGUCGGAAUCGCUAGUAAUCGUAGAUCAGAAUGCUACGGUGAAUACGUUCCCGGGCCUUGUACACACCGCCCGUCACACCAUGGGAGUGGGUUGCAAAAGAAGUAGGUAGCUUAACCUUCGGGAGGGCGCUUACCACUUUGUGAUUCAUGACUGGGGUGAAGUCGUAACAAGGUAACCGUAGGGGAACCUGCGGUUGGAUCACCUCCUUA